CCUGCGUAACAGACAUAUAGAUCAUAAAAUAUUUCCAUACACCAAAUAUAGUUGACCUAAUGCAUAAAGUAUUUGAAAAAUAGACCAAAACUCAAAAACUUAACUUUGACCACUGAACCAUGAAAAUGAGGUCAAGGUCAGAUGACACCUGUCAGUUAGACAUGUACACCUUACAAUCAUUCCAUACACCAAAUAUAGAAGACCUAUUGCAUAAAGUAUAAGAAAAACAGACCAAAACACAAAAACUUAACUAUAACCACUGAACCAUGAAAAUGAGGUAAAGGUCAAAUGACACCUGCCAUUUGGACAUGUACACCUUACAGUCCUUCCAUACACCGAAUAUACUAGCCCUAUUGCUUAUAGUAUCUGAGAUAUGGACUUGACCACCAAAACUUAACCUUGUUCACUGAUCCAUGAAAUGAGGUUGAGGUCAAGUGAAAACUGUCUGACGGGCAUGAGGACCUUGCAAGGUACGCACAUACCAAAUAUAGUUAUCCAAUUACUUAUAAUAAGAGAGAAAUUAACAUUACAAAAAAUC
rnacentral:lncRNA from 1 species